rnacentral:snRNA from 1 species
AGCUCGUGACAGGGCAAC